rnacentral:rRNA from 1 species
UACGGUAGAAAUUCCGUAACCACCGAACUUUAAGCCAGAGGGACACUUGGAGAUAGCCGAACCCGGGCGUUGGUUGACCCGGGCGAAAGGGAGCGAAAUAUAGUAGCGAAGUCGGCGAUGCUCUGAGGCGAGAAAAGCUCUGGUGUAUACUAAGGUGCCCGUACCGCAAACCGACACAGGUAGAUGAGGAGAGAACCCUAAGGCCAACGGGAGAAGGGUUGUUAAGGAACUCGGCAAGUUGACCCCGUAACUUCGGAAUAAGGGGAGCCUCGAAAGAGGCCGCAGUGAAGAGGCCCAAGCAACUGUUUACCAAAAACACAGGUCUAUGCUAAAUCGAAAGAUGACGUAUAUGGGCUGACGCCUGCCCGGUGCCGGAAGGUUAAGAGGAGGUGUCAGCGCAAGCGAAGCAUUGAAUUGAAGCCCCGGUAAACGGCGGCCGUAACAAUAACGGUCCUAAGGUAGCGAAAUUCCUUGUCAGGUAAGUUCUGACCCGCACGAAAGGCGUAAUGAUUUGGGCACUGUCUCAACAGCCCGCCCGGCGAAAUUGUAGUACCGGUGAAGAUGCCGGUUACCCGCAACUAGACGGAAAGACCCCAUGGAGCUUUACUGCAGCUUAAUACUGGAAUUCGGUAAUCCAUGUACAGGAUAGGUGGGAGACUUGGAAGCCCGGGCGUCAGCUCGGGUGGAGUCGCCGGUGGGAUACCACUCUUGGAUUGCUGAAUUUCUAACCUGCGGCCGUGAAUCCGGUCGGGGGACACUGUUAGGCGGGCAGUUUGACUGGGGCGGUCGCCUCCUAAAAGGUAACGGAGGCGCUCAAAGGUUGGCUCAGCACGGACGGAAAUCGUGCAGUGAGUGUAAACGUAUAAGCCAGCCUAACUGCGAGACCGACGGGUCGAGCAGUAACGAAAGUUGGAGUUAGUGAUCCGGUGGUAUGUGAGUGGAAAUGCCAUCGCUCAACGGAUAAAAGCUACCCUGGGAUAACAGGCUGAUCUCCCCCAAGCGUCCACAGCGACGGGGAGGUUUGGCACCUCGAUGUCGGCUCGUCACAUCCUGGGGCUGAAUUCGGUCCCAAGGGUUCGGCUGUUCGCCGAUUAAAGUGGCACGCGAGCUGGGUUCAGAACGUCGUGAGACAGUUCGGUCCCUAUCUGUUGCGGGCGUAAGAGAUUUGAAGGGAGCUGUCCUUAGUACGAGAGGACCGGGAUGGACGUACCUCUGGUGCACCAGUUGUCCUGCCAAGGGCAUAGCUGGGUAGCUAUGUACGGACGAGAUAAACGCUGAAGGCAUCUAAGCGUGAAACUCCCCCUAAGAUGAGAUCUCUCACUCUUCAUGAGGUAAGGGCCCAGGAAGACUACCUGGUUGAUAGGCCGGAGGUGGAAGCGCAGUAAUGUGUGUAGCUGACCGGUACUAAUAGCCCGAGGGCUUGACCGA